CCCUUAACUAUUAAAAGCUUCGUUUUGGUCCGUUAACUUACUUUUUGGUUUCGUUUUGGUCCCUUAACUCAUCCUCCGUCAACCUCUUUGAUCCUUUAUGUUAGGAUGAAUGUAUUAGAGUUAAGGGACCAAAAUGAAACAAAAAAAUAAGUUAAGGGACCAAAACGAAAUCAAAAAAUAAGUUAAGGGACCAAAACGAAACUUUUAAUAGUUAAGGGACCAAAAGAAAACCCAAAAAUAAGUUAUGGGACCGAAACGAAACUUUUAAUAGUUAAGGUA
rnacentral:pre_miRNA from 1 species